rnacentral:siRNA from 1 species
GUAGACCAGGUCACUGCACGCCAA